UACGUAGGGUGCAAGCGUUGUCCGGAAUUAUUGGGCGUAAAGAGCUCGUAGGCGGUUUGUCGCGUCGAAUGUGAAAUCCCGGGGCUCAACCCCGGGCCUGCAUUCGAUACGGGCAGACUAGAGUUCGGUAGGGGAGUCUGGAAUUCCUGGUGUAGCGGUGAAAUGCGCAGAUAUCAGGAGGAACACCGGUGGCGAAGGCGGGACUCUGGGCCGAUACUGACGCUGAGGAGCGAAAGCGUGGGGGAGCAAACAGG
rnacentral:rRNA from 1 species